GCAGUCCUUCGGGGUCGGGUGAGAAUCCCAACCGGCGGUGAUGAAGCAAUUCUAAGCCCGCGAGCCUGAAUAAGGCAGGAUUUGGUGAAAUUCCAAAGCCGACAGUAUAGUCUGGAUGGGAGAAGGACAUA
rnacentral:ncRNA from 2 species